AAAAAGCAUUUAAUGUUUCACAGCGUAAAUGCAAACACACAAAAACACAGAAAACAAAUAAUAAUCUCGUGCAAAGCGUUUUGUCACAUGGAUAUGCAGCAUUACUUCCAAAACUCAACAUUGGGUGAGCGGAUCAUCAUGAAUAACGAGGAAAAGCACUUCCUCUGAAUACUUAGAAAUCGCAGGACACUGUAUCGUGAACACAAGUAAUCAACGGAUACAUCGGACGAUAUUUCGAUAUUCUAGGCCUCUGUCAAAAACUGUGCCUCUCUGAGCUUCUCAUUCUUUCCCACUUUUUCUUCCCAAUUUGGAAUGUCCAAUUCCCAAAGCGCUCCAAGUCCACGUGGUGGCGUAGUGACUCGCCUUAAUCCGGGUGGCGGAGGACGAAUCUCAGUUGCCUCCGCGUUUGAGACCGCCAAUCCGCGCAUCUUAUCACGUGACUUGUUGAGCGCAUUACCGUGGAGACGUAGCGCGUGUGGAGGCUUCACGCUAUUCUCUGCGGCAUCCACGCACAACUCACCGCACUCUCCACCAAGAGCGAGAACCACAUUAUAGCGACCACGAGGAGGUUACCCCAUGUGACUCUACCCUCCCUAGCAACAGGGCCAAUUUGGUUGCUAUAGGAGACCUGGCUGGAGUCAUUCGAACUCACGACUCCAGGCGUGCUAGUCAGCAUCAAUACUUGCUGAGAUACACAAUAUUUACUGAAAGGUCUGGGUAAGCCAUUUUCAUCUCAGCGUCUUUAUCACCGGCGGGAAUUAAAUCGCUUUAGCCUGCAUCACAUAUAGUGUCCACAAAAAGAAUACGCUUAAGGCACACUUUAACAUAUCUGAGCGUCAUUGCAAUCGAUAACCAAAAUUUAAAAAAAAUAAAUAAAAAUGAAAGUGUCAUUUAUUUUAAGGAACUAUAGCACGAACAACCUUUACAAGCCAAACAUUUCACAUUUGUUACAUUUUGAAAUGAUAAAACAAGAGAUACAGUGUUGAAAAUGAAGAUAAAAGUACAGUAUUGUGUCACUUUGUGUUCGUCAAGCGUUGCAACAUGUUGAUAGUUAAUGAGCUACACUUGUACUGACUUUACAAUGACAUUCAAUGUGAUUUAAAUGUCCACAUAAUUAGUGAAAAAACACACGUCAUCGAUCACUAAUGAACAACACACAAAAUCAAAGCAAGAAAUCUGAACAGGCGUGUUAUAUAAAACGGCAUGCAUGCAGGCACACAUUAUUCUGUAUUAAACGGACACAGCUUUGACAAAAAAGGCUUCUGGUUUAACGGUGUGCUUAGACCAGGAACAUUUCAAACAUACUUCAGACGUGAUAUCUAUAAAACACUUUUCUCACAACACGCCAUAUAGAUGAUAUUUGAACAUGCAGAACUGAUCGCCUCUCCGUCAGUUCAGUAAAAGUGACAGCAGCUGUUGAAUAAUAACCGGAGGCAUGAACUAGAAAUACAAAUAUCACAUAUUAAAACAUCCCGUUUCAAGUACAAUAUGAGUGGAGCCACUAUCAAAGUCUAAAAAGUGCUAAAAAUCACAUGCUUCUGAUAUCCACAUUCAUUCUGCAUCGAUAUUUCCAAAGCAGCUCAACCUGGUAACAUUCAACUAAAGUCAUGAACACUGGAUUAAAUGCACAGGAACAAAUCGGCCUUUCCGUAGAAACAUGUUAAACACGGAGCCCCUUUAGAGGAAAUGAAGGGAAUUUAUUUUCUGAAACAACAGUAUUACCCAUCCCUUAAAAAAUGGACCAUGGUUUUAAGAGAUUAAUAAUAUUUUUUAUCACGUAUAAAAUUCAUUAUAUAACCAUAGUGAUAACAGGUAAACCCAAACUGUGGUAAUAAAAAUCAAUCGUUCACGACCCACACAACCAAGGUUACUAGUUUUACUAUAGUAACAUCAUGGUUAAUUUGUGGUACAUGUAUCAUGGUUCUUACAAAAGAAUGGUUACUAUAUGAUUUACUAUAGUGAAACCAUGGCAAACUUUCAUAAAGACAUGUUUCUUCCUUCUUUUACUAGAAACAUACUUCUAACAAACUAAUCGUGUUGUUACUAUAGUAACCACGGUUUUAAACGAAUGAUUAUACUAGUUCUGCCCCCCCCGCCCCCAGUAUUAUUAGUAUGGUUUUACGACGAACAUGGCGGUGAAAUUCAGUUACUAUAGUAACAUUUUACUACGUUUUACGACGAACAUGGCGGUGAAAUUCAGUUACUAUAGUAACAUUUUACUACGUUUUACGACGAACAUGGCGGUGAAAUUCAGUUACUAUAGUAACAUUUUACUAGGUUUUACGGCGAACAUGGCGGUGAAAUGCAGUUACUAUAGUAACAUUUUACUAGGUUUUACGGCGAACAUGGCGGUGAAAUUCAGUUACUAUAGUAACAUUUUACUAGGUUUUACGGCGAACAUGGCGGUGAAAUUCAGUUACUAUAGUAACAUUUUACUAGGUUUUACGGCGAACAUGGCGGUGAAAUUCAGUUACUAUAGUAACAUUUUACUAGGUUUUACGGCGAACAUGGCGGUGAAAUUCAGUUACUAUAGUAACAUUUUACUAGGUUUUACGGCGAACAUGGCGGUGAAAUUCAGUUACUAUAGUAACAUUUUACUAUGGUUUUACGACGAACAUGGCGGUGAAAUGCAGUUACUAUAGUAACAUUUUACUAUGGUUUUACGACGAACAUGGCGGUGAAAUGCAGUUACUAUAGUAACAUUUUACUAUGGUUUUACGACGAACAUGGCGGUGAAAUGCAGUUACUAUAGUAACAUUUUACUAUGGUUUUACGACGAACAUGGCGGUGAAAUUCAGUUACUAUAGUAACAUUUUACUAGGUUUUACGAUCGAACAUGGCGGUGAAAUUCAGUUACUAUAGUAACAGUUUACUAUGGUUUUACGACGAACAUGGCGGUGAAAUUCAGUUACUAUAGUAAAAUUUUACUAGGUUUUACGACGAACAUGGCGGUGAAAUUCAGUUACUAUAGUAACAUUUUACUAUGGUUUUACGACGAACAUGGCGGUGAAAUUCAGUUACUACAGUAACAGUUUACUAUGGUUUUACGACGAACAUGGCGGUGAAAUUCAGUUGCUACAGUAACAUUUUACUAUGGUUUUACGACGAACAUGGCGGUGAAAUUCAGUUACUACAGUAACAUUUCACUAUGGUUUUACGACGAACAUGGCGGUGAAAUUCAGUUACUACAGUAACAUUUUACUAUGGUUUUACGACGAACAUGGCGGUGAAAUUCAGUUACUACAGUAACAUUUUACUAUGGUUUUACGACGAACAUGGCGGUGAAAUGCAGUUACUACAGUAACAUUUUACUAUGGUUUUACGACGAACAUGGCGGUGAAAUUAAGUUACUAUGGUAACAUUUUACUAUGGUUUUACGACGAACAUGGCGGUGAAAUGCAGUUACUAUGGUAACAUUUUACUAUGGUUUUACGACGAACAUGGCGGUGAAAUUAAGUUACUAUGGUAACAUUUUACUAUGGUUUUACGAUGAAAAUGGCGGUGAAAUUCAG